AUGAAUUUAAAGAAAGACUGCUCCUACCACUUAUGAUUCAGCCAGAACAGAAGCAAUUAUCAACAACUCAGUAUUCAGCGGUACCUGCUAAAUUAUCAUGAUGAAAUGAUUUUAGGCUUAAUGGAUAUAUCAAUUUUCGACGGAUACGCCAUUAAUGUCAUCUAUAGUUCUUAUGCUAAGUAGUUAGAUGGAUCAACAGACGAAAUCAGCAAAC
rnacentral:lncRNA from 1 species